CUCUACAGCGUCGUUUCGAACGUAUUUCCAACAGUUCUUAUUGAGAUAUGAGCUAACAGCAAAGAGCAGCUGAUCUUUUAAGGCAGGCAGCAGAAUUGUUGAAUGUCAACACAAGUGACAGGAGUACAUAAUACCAGCACCUGCAUCAGUAACCUCUGUCAGAAGCACUAGUGCUGCAAAGGCAAUUUUUCUCCCGACAGUAAAAAAAGGAGGCAUGAACAUGCAAAUAUAGGAACUGUGGCAGUGCCAGCCAGCACUAGACUAUUAUACCCAGGAGUAAUAAGGUCCCUGGUUACAACUAAUGACCACCUGUUGAAGGAGCUAGGUGAGACCCGGGAGAGACACCGGCACAGAGGUGAAUCAGAUUAACUGAAGCUACAAGCAGCUCAAGAAAAACCUUCAGAGACCAGUCUAGAUGUUCUGAUAAUGAUAAUAGAGUGUGCUUUGUGUUUUAUUGCUAAGAAUUUGGCUGCUCUGUAUCCAAUAUCUGAAGUGGUAUUUUAUUAAGAUUUAUAAAAAAAGGCUUUAUGCAUGUGUGGGAAGUGUCGUCCCAUAUUAGCUUAUGUUGUCCACACAUGAUUAUCUGGGACAACACUUUCGGCUCGACUGGAUUUUUGUAAUAAAUACUUUCUUUAAACAAAAAAUCUCAUUAAAACCAAAAAGUGUCUUCCCUGAUUAGCCUGUGCGGACCGUACACGUUAAUCGGCGACGACACUUAAGGAACAUGCAUUAAACCCCAUUUUACCAGAGCAAGGGUAAAUUGUAUUUAUUUCCUUUCAAUAUUCGCAUCCCCUUUAUAUAAGGAUCAUACAGAUUCUAAAUGCCUAUUUAUUGUAAGCUGAAUAUUCAGUCAUAACCAAAAAGUGUCAUACGAUCUUUGUUAAGACAGGACCCUGAAUUCUAGCAUUAAAUGAGGUUAUGUGCUUUUCCGCACUUAUUCUAUGUCUUUUAUAAGUAAAAGGUGAACACUAGCAACAAUAUAAUUUGCUACCAAAAAUGUUUUCCAUAUAUUACUUCUUUUACAUGAAAGAAGUUAACAUGUGUAAAAAAAGUUUGGCAAACAAACUGACAGGUAACAAUCAGUUUAUUUAUUGUGCAUCCAGGCAUUUACAUAUAACCAGACAGUAGUGCAAUCUCACAUGUAUAUGUAGGUUUUUAACUUAUAUUGCACCAGUGUAUAGAUUGUUUUGAAAACAAAUGUAUGAUCAUGGUAAAGUUACAUAUGUCUAGUCAUAUGCAGUAUGUGUGGGAUACACUAGCAACAGCACCGGAGGGAUCAUUUUGUUUUCAGAUGAUGUUUAUGUAAUGUGUGUUUCAUCCUAAUAGUUAUUUAACCAGUAUGUCAUGUAAUACAUAUAUUUUCUAAUAAAACUGUAAAAAAGGUUAUUCAGUAUUUAGAUUAUUUUGACACGCUUUUUCAUGAUGGAUGGCUUCAUCCACAGUCAUUACAAGACACACAACAACAACAUAAUUGAGCCUCGGUCUGGGAAAAUGGGUCUUAAUGCAUGUUUGUCAAGUGUUAAUCAGGGCAAAUCAGUGAUGAAAUUUUCGCUAAAUGGAAUUUUUCGAUAAAAAAGUCUCUGCCGGAAAGUGUUGUCCCUGAUAAGCCUGUGCUGACGGUACAGGCUAAUCUGAGAAAACAUUUUGAGCACAUGCAUUGAGUCCAAUUUUCCCAGAGCCAGACUCACAUGUUAAA